UUAAGUGACUAAGCGUACAUGGUGGAUGCCUUGGCAGUCAGAGGCGAUGAAGGACGUACUAACCUGCGAUAAGCCGUGAGCAGUCGGUAAGAGACAUUACGACUCACGGAUUUCCGAAUGGGGAAACCCACUUAGCAUAAGCUAGGUAUCGCUACGUGAAUACAUAGCGUAGCGAGGCGAACCGGGAGAACUGAAACAUCUAAGUACCCCGAGGAAAAGAAAUCAACCGAGAUUCCCUCAGUAGCGGCGAGCGAACGGGGAUUAGCCCUUAAGCAUCUUGGAAGUUAGUGGAACGGUCCUGGAAAGGCCGGCGAUACAGGGUGAUAGCCCCGUACACGAAAGCAACCUUGAUGUGAAAUCGAGUAGGGCGGGACACGUGACAUCCUGUCUGAAUAUGGGGGGACCAUCCUCCAAGGCUAAAUACUCCUGACUGACCGAUAGUGAACCAGUACCGUGAGGGAAAGGCGAAAAGAACCCCUGUGAGGGGAGUGAAAUAGAACCUGAAACCGUGUACGUACAAGCAGUGGGAGCCCUUCGGGGUGACUGCGUACCUUUUGUAUAAUGGGUCAGCGACUUACAUUUUGUAGCGAGGUUAACCGUAUAGGGGAGCCGUAGGGAAACCGAGUCUUAACUGGGCGUCUAGUUGCAAGGUGUAGACCCGAAACCGGGUGAUCUAGCCAUGGGCAGGUUGAAGGUUGAGUAACAUCAACUGGAGGACCGAACCCACUAACGUUGCAAAGUUAGGGGAUGACCUGUGGCUGGGGGUGAAAGGCCAAUCAAACUCGGAGAUAGCUGGUUCUCCCCGAAAGCUAUUUAGGUAGCGCCUCGGACGAAUACUACUGGGGGUAGAGCACUGUUUGGGCUAGGGGGUCAUCCCGACUUACCAACCCCAUGCAAACUCCGAAUACCAGUAAGUACUAUCCGGGAGACACACGGCGGGUGCUAACGUCCGUCGUGAAGAGGGAAACAACCCAGACCGCCGGCUAAGGUCCCAAAGUUCUGGUUAAGUGGGAAACGAUGUGGGAAGGCUCAGACAGCUAGGAUGUUGGCUUAGAAGCAGCCAUCAUUUAAAGAAAGCGUAAUAGCUCACUAGUCGAGUCGGCCUGCGCGGAAGAUGUAACGGGGCUCAAACCAGGCACCGAAGCCGCGGAUUCACACUAAGUGUGAGUGGUAGGGGAGCGUUCUGUAAGUCUGCGAAGGUGUGUCGAGAGGCAUGCUGGAGAUAUCAGAAGUGCGAAUGCUGACGUAAGUAACGAUAAAGGGGGUGAAAAGCCUCCUCGCCGGAAGACCAAGGGUUCCUGUCCAACGUUAAUCGGGGCAGGGUGAGUCGACCCCUAAGGUGAGGCCGAAAGGCGUAAUCGAUGGGAAGCAGGUUAAUAUUCCUGCACGACUUGUAAUUGCGAUGGGGGGACGGAGAAGGCUAGGUGGGCCAGGCGACGGUUGUCCUGGUGAAAGUGCGUAGGUGGUGUUUCUAGGCAAAUCCGGAGACACAACACUGAGACACGAGACGAACACACUACGGUGUGGAAGCCAUUGAUGCCCUGCUUCCAGGAAAAGCCUCUAAGCUUCAGAUUACAAGUCAUCGUACCCCAAACCGACACAGGUGGUCGGGUAGAGAAUACCAAGGCGCUUGAGAGAACUCGGGUGAAGGAACUAGGCAAAAUAGAACCGUAACUUCGGGAGAAGGUUCGCUCUUGAUGGUGAAGUCCCUUGCGGAUGGAGCUGUCGGGAGUCGCAGUGACCAGAUGGCUGGGACUGUUUAUCAAAAACACAGCACUCUGCAAACACGAAAGUGGACGUAUAGGGUGUGACACCUGCCCGGUGCCGGAAGGUUAAUUGAUGGGGUUAGCGCAAGCGAAGCUCUUGAUCGAAGCCCCGGUAAACGGCGGCCGUAACUAUAACGGUCCUAAGGUAGCGAAAUUCCUUGUCGGGUAAGUUCCGACCUGCACGAAUGGUGUAACCAUGGCCAUGCUGUCUCCACCCGAGACUCAGUGAAAUCGAAUUCGCCGUGAAGAUGCGGUGUACCCGCGGCUAGACGGAAAGACCCCGUGAACCUUUACUACAGCUUGGCACUGAACAUUGAACCUACAUGUGUAGGAUAGGUGGGAGGCUUUGAAGGCGUGACGCCAGUUGCGCUGGAGCCGUCCUUGAAAUACCACCCUUGUAUGUUUGAUGUUCUAACGCAGGGCCCUGAAUCGGGCUCGCGGACAGUGCCUGGUGGGUAGUUUGACUGGGGCGGUCUCCUCCCAAAGAGUAACGGAGGAGCACGAAGGUUGGCUAAUCCUGGUCGGACAUCAGGAGGUUAGUGCAAUGGCAUAAGCCAGCUUAACUGCGAGACGGACAGGUCGAGCAGGUACGAAAGUAGGUCAUAGUGAUCCGGUGGUUCUGAAUGGAAGGGCCAUCGCUCAACGGAUAAAAGGUACUCCGGGGAUAACAGGCUGAUACCGCCCAAGAGUUCAUAUCGACGGCGGUGUUUGGCACCUCGAUGUCGGCUCAUCACAUCCUGGGGCUGAAGUCGGUCCCAAGGGUAUGGCUGUUCGCCAUUUAAAGUGGUACGCGAGCUGGGUUCAGAACGUCGUGAGACAGUUCGGUCCCUAUCUGCCGUGGGCGUUGGAUGAUUGAAGGGAGUUGCUCCUAGUACGAGAGGACCGGAGUGAACGAACCUCUGGUGUUCGGGUUGUCACGCCAGUGGCACUGCCCGGUAGCUAAGUUCGGAAUCGAUAACCGCUGAAAGCAUCUAAGCGGGAAGCGAGCCCUGAGAUGAGUCAUCCCUGACCCCUUGAGGGUCCUAAAGGGCCGUUGGAGACCACAACGUUGAUAGGUGGGGUGUGUAAGCGUAGCGAUACGUUGAGCUAACCCAUACUAAUUACCCGUGAGGCUUAACCAU
rnacentral:rRNA from 1 species